AAUAUGCCUUUAAUAUGCUUCCAAUACAUCUUUUUUUUUUUUUUGUGAUCAAUGAAGCGCUGUAUACAAGAUGAAAAAUACCUUGCCUUUCUCACUACAUUUUGUGUAAUCAGUCUCUAUUUCUGUUCACCAAUGAUGUCAGGUUGGAGAACAGGGAGUGCCAAGAUGUUACUUGACAUCUCUGGGUCCUCAGAGGUGGUCAACUUCAAACUCAGACCUUUUUAGGUUCUCUUGGUGGCUCAAACUUUAUGGGGUUAUCAAAGCUGGAGUCUGCAUCAGCUCUCUGCCCCUGGAAGAGUUUCCUUUAAUUCCGUAGAAGUUGAGCUGACACAGGGUUAGGGAUUCUUGUGUGGAAUGGAAGUUGCAAAGCCAGAGUCAACCUGCAGUUUUUAACCUUUGGUUUAUGGCAGUAUCAUGAACAUGGCCACAUCCUGGCAGAAGCUCCAGGCAGGUGGGAGUGGUGCCAGCAGAGCAUUUAUAGCAACCAGCACUGGGUGGAGGGACCUGGCAGUGCCCAUGUGUUCCCUGGGGCACAGCUGUGUUAUUCUAAGAUAGGCCUACUCUGACCCUGUGUCACAUCCUAAGCCCUUCAUUUCAAUUCCUGUGUCAUUUCUGCACCCACCCCCCAAUUCCAAGACUGUGGCCCCUUCCUCACUUGCUAUCCCAGAGAAAAUUGCUAAGUUCCUUUGGACUUCAUGCAUUGGUUACCUGCUUUCAGAAAUGCAUUAUUUCCCAAAUCCCAAACACCAGGUGUUAAAUGUGUAUGAAUUACUUGACAUAUUUAAUUGCAGGAUUAAUGCUGAGACACAGUAAUGUAUUUAGGGACACAUUAGAUGUAUUAUUUUAAAACUGUGAUUAACACCGAUUUUGGAGCAUUUUGGAAGACUAAUUAAAUGAUUGAAAACCACAUUCUGGCAUUGCAAUGUUUGUUCAACAAAAACAUUUGUGGAAAUUAGGUGUAAUUCAACCACCUCAUUAUACAAUUAGUUGUUUAAUUCUGUCUGCAGGCGUUUGAGGUCAUAAUCAGGAUGAAGCUGUGGCUUCUGGGGCAUGACUGGGCUUUAGGAUGGGUCUCCCCGCUUUCCAUGGUGCUGACAGGCUCCUCACUUUCAGGGUGCUGAGUGGCUCCCCAUGUUUUAUGGUGCUGUCUUCCCCUGCCACUAGUCUCUUCUGCCAUCCUUCAGUCUCGCUGGCCCCCGUCCCCUGAUCACUGUGCUUGUUUGCACCUCACUGCACUCUUGCUUGCUCUCUGCUCUGCCUGUGAGGUCAUUGUUACUGUUGUUCAACAAAUAUUUUUGGUUUUUCUCACAAGCACAUAAUAGAUUAUGCUCCAUUCCCACACCCCCUCAAAGUUAGGUCUCCCUAGUAACUAAGGCGAUGUGGGCAGAGGGACACGUGCCAUUUCUGGGCAAAAGCUUUUAGAACCCUGUGGAAGUUACACCUUUUCUUUUCCUUUGCCAUGGCAACUGGAGAUUGUCCAGACAGCAGCUUCUCCAUCAAUCUGGGGUCUUGAAGUUACCUGCUUAUGGACCUGAAGUAUAAAGCAGAAACAAACGUUUAUUGUUUUAGGCCACUGGGACUUGGAGUGGCUUGAUUCUGCAGCAUGAUCUAACUGGCCCUGAUGGACACAGCCAGUGGAUGUUCCCUUGGAUUUUUCCUUGAUCUUUACUCUCUUAUUUUUCAGACUGUUCGCAAAUCCCCUCCUCAGAGAGGUCCUCUCCGUCCAUUUCCCCAGAGCCACUUUCAAUUCUGUUUCCUUCUCUUUUUUUUUUGACAGCGGUUACUGCCUUCUGACAUUAUUUUAUUUACAUUUAUAAAUAACGUGACAAUUUAUAAAUAAAGUGUUUCUCUAUCUCUGUAAUUUUGUCAUUUGGAGAAUGUUAUACGUUGAAUCAUACAGUGUGCGGGACUGUUAUUUUCUGCUUAGGCCUUGAGGUUCAUCCAACUUGCUGGGUAUAACAGUGGUUCCUUCCUUUUUAUUGUUGAAUAGUAUUUCUAUGGUGUGGAUGUACUAUGGUUUAUUUAAUCAUUUACCUGUUGAAGGGCAUUUAUUUAUAUCUAUAAAUACAGUCCACUUACUGUAUUUCAUUAUCUCUGAGAUGGAAACUUGAAAUAAAAAUAAUUUUUAUUUUCCAUUCUUGUUUCUGUUUUUCUGUUUUUACUCCACCCAGCCCCCCUAAAGUUUUUAACAUGAUUGCUUUUCUGAAAUCAGGAUGGCUCUUAGAGUCCACAGUGUGCUAUUCAGGCCAUGACACAGGUGAAUUACCUGUGCAGGUGUGAACAACCAAAUGACCAGUGAACACAUGUAACUAAUACUCAACUGACCAGCAUCAGUGCACUGGAAAAGAAUCCGAGAUUGGACAAUGGAGCCCUCUUUUAACCCCUAUGAAUGUCAUGGAUGUGGGGACAGACUGGAGGACUGGAGCAAGUCAAAUAUGUUUAGUGACAUUGCUGAAGUCAGAACCGAAGCAGAAAAACUGUAUAUAAUUUUAAAGAGUCCUCAAAGCCCAGCACUCUUGACUUUCAAUCUUUUUAUGGAUUCUUUGAAGAAAUGCCGUAUAAUCAGUGCUCGUGGAUGAAUGCACAGAGGAUGAUAGAGCAUGGAAAAACCCCAAACAUUGAUGAGUCUGAAUUGAACAGUGAUUCAGAAGAAUUGGACUCAGUGUAAAGUAGUUUGAGGAAUAACAACCAAGUUAUUUCACUUGUAUUUUCAUUUUUAUGUAUGCACAAUAGUAAUAUGUGAUAAAAAUCUGUCUAAUUAAGUCUC
rnacentral:lncRNA from 10 species